rnacentral:rRNA from 1 species
AGUGAACGCUGGCGGUAGGCCUAACACAUGCAAGUCGAACGGCAGCACAGUAGAGCUUGCUCUUCCGGGUGGCGAGUGGCGGACGGGUGAGGAAUACAUCGGAAUCUACUUUUUCGUGGGGGAUAACGUAGGUAAACUUACGCUAAUACCGCAUACGACCUACGGGUGAAAGCAGGGGAUCUUCGGACCUUGCGCGAUUGAAUGAGCCGAUGUCGGAUUAGCUAGUUGGCGGGGUAAAGGCCCACCCAGGCGACGAUCCGUAGCUGGUCUGAGAGGAUGAUCAGCCACACUGGAACUGAGACACGGUCCAGACUCCUACGGGAGGCAGCAGUGGGGAAUAUUGGACAAUGGGCGCAAGCCUGAUCCAGCCAUACCGCGUGGGUGAAGAAGGCCUUCGGGUUGUAAAGCCCUUUUGUUGGGAAAGAAAAGCAGCAGGUUAAUACCCCGCUGUUCUGACGGUACCCAAAGAAUAAGCACCGGCUAACUUCGUG